UCCCGCCCUGUUUUUAUUUAAAACAUCGCCUCUUGCAUAUAUUAUAAGAGGUCUUGCCUGCCCAGUGACGCAAGUUUAACGGCCGCGGUAUUUUGACCGUGCAAAGGUAGCGUAAUCAAUCGUCUUUUAAAUGAAGACCUGUAUGAAUGGUAAAACGAAAACUCAACUGUCUCAUUCUUUCAGCCAAUGAAAUUGAUCUCUCCGUGCAGAAGCGGGGAUAUACACAUAAGACAAGAAGACCCUGUGGAGCUUUAGAUUAAUUAGCCUAAGCUUUACUUAAGUCUUUCUUAUUUAAAGCUAAACUCUACUUACAUCUUAGAUUGGGGCGAUCACGGAGAAAACAGACCCUCCACGAAGAAAAACACAUGCUUUUUAUAGUCAAGAGUUACAGCUCCAAACACUAAUACAUUUAAUUCUAUGAACCGGCCUGCCGAUUAACGAACCUAGUUACCCCAGGGAUAACAGCGCAAUCCCCUUAAAGAGCACUUAUCACUAAGGGGGUUUACGACCUCGAUGUUGGAUCAGGACAUCCUAAUGGCGCACCAACUAUUAAGGGUUCGUUUGUUCAACGAUUAAAGUCCUACGUGAUCUGGAUUUUCAAAACCGAA
rnacentral:rRNA from 1 species